rnacentral:rRNA from 1 species
AAUCAACGCUGGCGGCGUGCCUCAGACAUGCAAGUCGAACGAUUAAAGCUCUCUUCGGAGAGUGUAUAGAGUGGCGCACGGGUGAGUAACACGUAAGUAAUCUACCUUUGAGUGGGGAAUAACCCGGGGAACCCGAGCUAAUACCGCAUAAUGCAGCGGCACCGCAAGGUGACAGUUGUUAAAGGAGCAAUCCGCUUAAAGAGGAGCUUGCGGCAGAUUAGCAGUUGGUAAGGUAAUGGCUUACCAAGGCUUCGAUCUGUAUCCGGCCUGAGAGGCGGUCGGACACACUGACACUGAAUAACGGGUCAGACUCCUACGGAGGCAGCAGUCGGGAAUUUUGGGCAAUGGGCGAAAGCCUGACCCAGCAACGCCG